rnacentral:lncRNA from 1 species
CCCUUUUUUGGCCCUUAAUUCCUAAACAGUUGGAACCAAAACUCCUAAAAUCAAUCCCAACCUUCCUUUUGUGGUCAUAAACCUUGUGUCAAAAUUUCAUAGAUUUCUAUUUACUUAAACUAAAGUUAUAGUGCGAAAACCAAGAAAAUGCUUAUUUGGGCCCUUUUUGGCCCCUAAUUCCUAAACUGUUGGGACCAAAACUUCCAAAAUCAAUCCCAACCUUCCUUUUGUGGUCAUAAACCUUGUGUUUAAAUUUCAUAGAUUUCUGUUUACU